GAACUGGACAUGCCGACCUCAGAGUGUGUUGUGUGCCUGGACCGUGAAGCUCAGAUGGUCUUCCUCACCUGUGGCCAUGUCUGCUGCUGUCAGCAGUGCUGCCAGCCUCUGCGCACCUGCCCGCUGUGCCGCCAGAUCUCCCAGCGCCUCCGGAUCUACCACAGCAGCUGAAGGCACAGCACCUACCAGCCCUGGCCCUUCUUUGGUACCAUCUCCACCACUGCUGGACUCCCACCUACCCUCAUUCCACAGACUAGGGCAAGACUGCCACAGGCCUUUGUCACCCACCACCUGCCACCCCGACCCCCCACUGCUCUGAGCACUAGGCAGGCAAGUGGAAUGUUCCUGGCCUGUGACAUAGCUAUUCUGAACCGUGAACAAAAGACAGGACAAAUCUGCUGGUGGUGGAGCCUUGGGGCACGGGGCCAAGGUCCAGCGUAGGGAGGUGGCCCUGCAGGACUCAGGAAUCCAUGUUAGUAGCCAAGCCUCAGUGCUACACCCAGCUGUCUGCCCCUCCUGGAGGUGUCCAUAUCUGUGGAAUGUAUCAGCCACCCCGUCCUAAGGUGCACCAGUGUCUCUGGGAAGGGGUGGGUUGUGCAAGACUCCCCAGCACCCUUUUGCUUCUUUCUGAACACCCACCCUCCCAUAUCUGCAUCCUUAGCCUACACAGGAAGGUUGAUUCAAAACAGGAGCACCAGUAAAUCUGACUCCCUUGCAGAGUCACCCCUAGGUCCAUGGGAACUUGGAGGGGUAGGAGUAGGCAGAGUCCGGGGAGAGGGCAGCUCUUCUGGGGAAAAGGGCCAGAGCUGCUGCCCCUGGGUCAGAGGGAAGGCAACAGAAACAUUGCCCCGUGGAGAGUUAGGCAACACCCUCUUGAAAGACGGCGAGGGGAACAGCCAGAGACAGGGUCUCAUUAUUUAUAAGUAGCCUGUGCUCAUGGGAGAGGUUGUGUCCCUGCGAUGAUUACCCUAGGUGAGGGGGCUGCCGAGGCAACUGGAAGGCAUGUUAACUUUCAGAGGGGCAGCCCACCCUCACCAGCUGUAGUGAAGGGUUCCAUGUGACAUGACACCCUUCUGCCCUCCCCAGUAUAGUGUGUAUGGCCUACAGCAUGUGCUCAACAAAUAUUACUACUUGACUGGCUCUGGGGGAACUAGACAUUGGCACCUAGCUCAGGCCUGGAGGCCACCCUCAUGGUGGACACAUGGGAUUGAUGAGCCAUCAGAAGGCUAGUCACCUGAAAGCUCUAUGGCCUCUCCCCUUCUCUCUGAGCCUCAGUUUUCCCCUCUAAAAUAGGGGAUUGUAAGAAUGAGUUAGAGAAAGAGGCCUUAGUACAUUGGUUGUCAUUUGGAAGUCUGGCUCCCCAGAUCUCACAGAGCCAGGCCAGUACAUGUAAUCACAGUACUGAGGAAGCUGAAGCCGGCAGACCCUGGGACUCACCAGUCAGCCAGACUAACCGAAUUAGUGAGUUCCAGGCUAAUGAGACCUCAUCUCAAAACACGAGGUGGAAUGAUCCGAGAUUCUUUGGCUUCCACAUGCACAUGUGAAUUUGUACUUGUACACACGUGCUGGAACACACUCAGAUCAGGGGCCUGUUAGCUCAUAUGAUGAGCCCAAGAGAUCUGGGAUGAAUGGAUCCCUAGAUACCGUAGGCCCAGAUCUCCCCAACCCCAGCAGCACAUGAGGAAAUGAGCUUUAAAUAAAGCGUUUUUUGAUGAGCAGAAGCUU